AGUCGAACGAGAUUAUCCAGCUUGCUGGAUAUGAAAGUGGCGCACGGGUGCGUAACGCGUGAGCAACCUACCUCUGUCAGGGGGAUAGCCCGGCGAAAGUCGGAUUAACACCGCAUGACAUUAUUGAUGUGGCAUCACAUUAUAAUCAAAUAUUUAUAGGACAGAGAUGGGCUCGCGUGACAUUAGCUAGUUGGAGAGGUAACGGCUCACCAAGGCAACGAUGUCUAGGGGCUCUGAGAGGAGAAUCCCCCACACUGGUACUGAGACACGGACCAUACUCCUACGGGAGGCAGCAGUAAGGAAUAUUGGUCAAUGGAGGGAACUCUGAACCAGCCAUGCCGCGUGCAGGAUGACUGCCCUAUGGGUUGUAAACUGCUUUUGUCGGGGAAUAAACCUACGUUUGUAAACGUAGCUGAAUGUACCCGAAGAAUAAGGAUCGGCUAACUCCGUGCCAGCAGCCGCGGUAAUACGGAGGAUCCAAGCGUUAUCCGGAUUUAUUGGGUUUAAAGGGUGCGUAGGCGGUUCUUUAAGUCAGAGGUGAAAGACGGCAGCUUAACUGUCGCAGUGCCUUUGAUACUGAAGAACUUGAAUUAGGUUGAGGAAUGCGGAAUGAGACAAGUAUCGGUGAAAUGCAUAUAUAUGUCUCAGAACCCCGAUUGCGAAGGCAGCAUUCCAAGCCUUUAUUGACGCUGAUGCACGAAAGCGUGGGGAUCGAACAGGAUUAGAUACCCUGGUAGUCCACGCCCUAAACGAUGAUAACUCGAUGUUGGCGAUAGACAGUCAGCGUCCCAGCGAAAGCGUUAAGUUAUCCACCUGGGGCAGUACGCCCGCAAGGGUGAAACUCAAAGGAAUUUGACGGGGGCCCGCACAAGCGGAAGGAGC
rnacentral:rRNA from 1 species